CACGUAGGGUGCGAGCGUUGUCCGGAAUUAUUGGGCGUAAAGAGCUCGUAGGCGGUGUGUCGCGUCGGCCGUGAAAACCUGCAGCUUAACUGUGGGCUUGCGGUCGAUACGGGCAUCACUGGAGUUCGGCAGGGGAGACUGGAAUUCCUGGUGUAGCGGUGAAAUGCGCAGAUAUCAGGAGGAACACCGGUGGCGAAGGCGGGUCUCUGGGCCGAUGACUGACGCUGAGGAGCGAAAGCGUGGGGAGGCGAACAGG
rnacentral:rRNA from 1 species